rnacentral:rRNA from 1 species
CAGUAGCCACGGUAAUACGUAGGGGGCGAGCGUUGUCCGAAGUUACUGGGCGUAAAGCGCGUGUAGGCGGGUCUUUAAGUGAGGGGUGAAAGGUUUGGGCUUAACCCAGACACUGCCUUUCAUACUGGAGACCUUGAGUGCGGGAGAGGCGAGUGGAAUGGUCGGUGUAGCGGUGAAAUGCGUAGAGAUGUGGAGGAACACCAGUGGCGAAGGCGACUCUCUGGUCUGUAACUGACGCUGAGGAGCGAAAGCGUGGGGAGCGAACAGGAUUAGAUACCCGUGUAGUCCCUGUCUCUUAUAC